rnacentral:rRNA from 1 species
ACGGAAGGCAGCAGUGGGGAAUAUUGCGCAAUGGGCGAAAGCCUGAUGCAGCGACGCCGCGUGAGUGAAGAAGUAUCUCGGUAUGUAAAGCUCUAUCAGCAGGGAAGAAAAUGACGGUACCUGACUAAGAAGCCCCGGCUAACUACGUGCCAGCAGCCGCGGUAAUACGUAGGGGGCAAGCGUUAUCCGGAUUUACUGGGUGUAAAGGGAGCGUAGACGGUUUGGCAAGUCUGAAGUGAAAUGCGGGGGCUCAACUCCUGAACUGCUUUGGAAACUGUCGAACUAGAGUGCAGGAGAGGUAAGUGGAAUUCCUAGUGUAGCGGUGAAAUGCGUAGAUAUUAGGAGGAACACCAGUGGCGAAGGCGGCUUACUGGACUGUAACUGACGUUGAGGCUCGAAAGCGUGGGGAGCAAACAGGAUUAGAUACCCUGGUA